rnacentral:rRNA from 1 species
AUUGAACGCUGGCGGCAUGCCUUACACAUGCAAGUCGAACGGCAGCACGGGAGCAAUCCUGGUGGCGAGUGGCGAAUGGGUGAGUAAUAUAUCGGAACGUGCCCAGUAGUGGGGGAUAGCCCGGCGAAAGCCGGAUUAAUACCGCAUACGACCUCAGGGUGAAAGCGGGGGAUCGCAAGACCUCGCGCUAUUGGAGCGGC